rnacentral:rRNA from 1 species
CGAAAUUCCUUGUCGGGUAAGUUCCGACCUGCACGAAUGGCGUAAUGAUGGCCAGGCUGUCUCCACCCGAGACUCAGUGAAAUUGAACUCGCUGUGAAGAUGCAGUGUACCCGCGGCAAGACGGAAAGACCCCGUGAACCUUUACUAUAGCUUGACACUGAACAUUGAGCCUUGAUGUGUAGGAUAGGUGGGAGGCUUUGAAGUGUGGACGCCAGUCUGCAUGGAGCCGACCUUGAAAUACCACCCUUUAAUGUUUGAUGUUCUAACGUGGACCCGUAAUCCGGGUUGCGGACAGUGUCUGGUGGGUAGUUUGACUGGGGCGGUCUCCUCCUAAAGAGUAACGGAGGAGCACGAAGGUUGGCUAAUCCUGGUCGGACAUCAGGAGGUUAGUGCAAUGGCAUAAGCCAGCUUGACUGCGAGCGUGACGGCGCGAGCAGGUGCGAAAGCAGGUCAUAGUGAUCCGGUGGUUCUGAAUGGAAGGGCCAUCGCUCAACGGAUAAAAGGUACUCCGGGGAUAACAGGCUGAUACCGCCCAAGAGUUCAUAUCGACGGCGGUGUUUGGCACCUCGAUGUCGGCU